GAAGUGUUGAGCUGUGCCAGCUGGAUGUGGUCCCUAAAAGUCACUGCCCUGUGACUGAAGGUGGCCCUGUUCCCAAGCUGGGGGGGAUUGUCCUCAUCACCAUGGUGACCAUGCCCAUGGAUGGUCCCAGGGGGUGGCACGGACACUCACCUGAUGUGCAGAGAGAAAGGAGAUAAAAUGAAUUUAUGGAUGUGACAUGGGAUCGUCUGGGGAGGAGACUUGUGCUGCUUCCACAGGGUUCUCACAAUCCCGAAUAAGAGCAAACCUUCCUGGUACCAGCUGUUAAGGAUCCAUCCCAGGGUCCACCGUCCUCCUGGAGAGGAGAACAGGGCUCGGAAAACAAGCUGGCUCCGAGCCCUUCUCCUCCUGCAGCCUUGCUCUGCCAGAGUUGGGCAUUAAUUCAUCACCUGGCUGCAAACAGUUCAGGAGUAGCUCUGCUUCAGGAGGGAGGAAAGGGAUGAGCUCUUCAUCUAGCCAGCUUUCCUGGGAGCCUCACUCUGAGCCACGGCGCUGGGAUUUGGGAGCUGUGCCAGCCCGGCUCAGGGUCAGGUACCGGCAAACGCGGUGUGUCACGGCCCGGGUGGGCUCCGUGCUCUGGCUCAGGGUCAGGUACCGGCAAACGCGGUGUGUCACGGCCCGGGUGGGCUCCGUGCUCUGCGAGGGGCUCUGGCAGUGGGCCCGGACAGCCAGCGUGUCCCAGGGCAGGCCCAAAGCCGGGCCGGGCUCGGGAGGGACUCAUGGAUGAGCCGGCAGCAUCGGCUGGGAAUGGGGCAGUCCCCAGGUUCUCCCCUUUGCAAGGGCUGAUGCUCAAGGUCUGGCUGGGGCUGGGCGCUGUUGACCUGGACCGUGUCGUGAUUCCUCCGCAUUCUCCCCCUCUACGCCGUCGGGAUCCCCCCCCGCUCCCGCCAUGACGUGGUCCUGCGAGAGGGGCCCCGGGGCAGGCACGGGGUCUCCCAGCCCCUGGCCGGGCUCCCUGCGCGGGAAGGCCGCUGCCCUUGUGAGGGCCCGCCGGGGCCUGUGCGCCGCUCGGGUGCCCCGGCACAAGAGUGAGGGCUUGGAAGGGCUGGGGCAAGUCCAGAAGAGGCCACAGAGUUAAUGAGGGGAGUGGAGCACCCCCCCCUGUGGAGGCAGGAUGGGAGAAUUUGGGCUGUUCACCCCAGAGAAGAGAAGGUUGUGUGGAGAGCUCACAGCGCCUUCCAGGAUCUAAAGGGAAGCUGCAGAGGGACUCUCCACCAGGAACUGGCGUGACAGCACAAAGAGGGAUGCCAGAGAGAAGCUCCACCAGGCUGAAGAUGCUUCUCCAUCCCCCUGUCCCUUGAAACAGCCCUGAUGUCCAUCCAGCAUUUGCACAGGAUGGGGUCGGGUCCCCUGGGCUGCUCCUCAGCACUGCAACAGCAGAAAUAACCAGAGACCAACUGGAAAUCUGUGCACCAGCUCCUGCCAGGGCUGCAAGACUCAGUGCACUCAUUAGGGAUUCAGCUGUGAUUCCCCUCUUCGAGCUGACAGCAGCUCUCACCAUCUGGAGAGAGGUGUGCUUCUCCCUGGCUGAGCCUUCCAGCGUGGAGCUGCCGGAGGAGCACGAGGAAACAUCACAAACUGGGAAACAUCAGGUUGUCUCUCAGAGGGAAAAAUGGAGAGUCCUGAGUCGAGUGUUGACAUUGGAGGCAGAAUCUGAGCCAAGGAAGAGCUGGGGGAUGGAGCAAGGCAGGGGCUGCGAGUGUCUCCGGGCACAGAGCUCAUCCUGCACCGAACUCAGAAUGCGCAGAUGGAGUUUUGGAGAACAAAGAGCUAAUCCUGAGUGACCUGACAUCAUCCCCAGCAUGGAGAACAAGGUGUUGAGCCGGGCUGCCGCUGAGCACACCUAUUAAAUGUGUCCUCUCCGCCAUGAAUUAUGUAUCUCUGCAUUUCCAUUUCCCCACUGCCGCUUGUUUGAUGAAAUUCUCCUCAGCUGAUAAGGAUUAAGCCACCUUCUCCAAAGCACAGCACCGAAGAGCCCUGUGCUAAUAAACCGGGAUAUUGAAAGGCCAGGAGGAUGCUGCUUCUGGAGUUGUGCUGUUUCCCAGAAGGAUCACGGAGGAGUGGAUCUCCAAAGCCAGCCUCGCUCAGGGAGCCGUGGUGGCAGCCCAGAAAUUCCUGGGGACACUGCUGUCACAGAAGGCAAGAAACGCUCCAGCAAGCUGCUCUAGGGCUGAACCCUUGAGCAGGAGAGGUCUCCACGGAGCUCAGCACAGGCAGCCCCAGCUGCCAGGGAACGGGGUGCCCGGUGCUGCCAGCUGGGAGCUGCAGCUGUCCAUCCUGGAGCAAUCUCCCCUUCCUGCACAUCCCAACCCCACUUUCUGCUCCUGCUGCUGCUCUCCCGCUGCCUUCCCCUGCUCUGGCUGGCACGCAGAGGGCAACUUCCGAACGAACUGCUGCAGAUUCCAAGAGCUUUCUGAGGGGGAUGGCAAAAUGGAGAGAAAUCCAAGAAUUCAAGAAACUCACGUGCUGCAGAUGGAUACGUAGGUGCUCGGCCAUGUGGGAGCGUUCCCACAGAUCCCAGCCAGCAGAGCAGGGUGAAAUCCUCCUGCUCUUUCUUAAAUCAAUAUCCACCCAUUCCCCCCUUCAACUCUUCCAAACUGCUCAGAGUGCAGCACUUGCCAGAAAGUGCAGCUGUUUUAGUUGGAAGUGCAUUAUUUUCUCUCAAGAGCUGCUUAUGAAAUUAAUAUUCCCAUCAGCCCUAAUGAAGAACUUUUCCCUACGAUGGAGCGUGCCACCCUGGCAUACUGAGCAGGCCCUGCCAACACAGACCAUCCCCAAGGCUUCAGAGCAACUCAGGCUGCAGGAGGAUCAGUCAGGCACACUGCAUUUGGGAUCACCUUUACUCUGCCAGGCGCAGAGCAGUUCCCAGCCCAUCACCUCACAGCUCGUGUCAGCCAGGAGUAAAUCACUGCAUCCCCAAGCUGAACUGGUAAAACAGGUCGGGGAACCCCAAAUCUCCACUUACUCCUGUGGAAAUUCAGGCAGUGUCAGGAGAAGUGAAGAAUUACUCUGCAGCGGUGCACGGACUUGUUUGGACAGGAAGGUUUUGAUGCUGCCUCAAAGCACAAGUGCAAGGCAAUGAUACCACUCAGAGCAUGGCCAAGACACCGAGAUGAGCACAGUUUCACCUCCUGAGCAUGUCCCAGCAGCUUCAGCAGCAUCCCAACCCACAGAAAGUGCCUCCUCUGCAAGCACAGCCUGUUCUCUUCGCUGCUGCCAACACGCCGGGACGCGCAGCCAGGGAAGCGCUGGGGAAGCUCCCAAGUUGUGCACUCCAGGCAUGCACGGCCACUCCCUGGCCCUGCUCCCCAGUGGCUGCUGAAGAAGAGCUCCCAGCGUCUUCCAGGAGCCCGCUGCUCGAAUUUCAGAAACGUCAUAGUAAUUUAAAACGUCCAAGGACUGCUCCUGAAAAAUCCUGCCAGGAUAGACAGGUCUGGCUGCCUUUACCUGCCCAAGCAGCCUCUCAUUGGCACCUGAAACAUGGGGCUAAGUCCUUUUCUCCUAUGGAAAAGGGUGUCCUUGUCUUCCAGGAGCCCAGUGAUGGAAUUUCAAUUCUACCUCCAAAAUUCAGGAAUUCUCAGCUGCCAGCACAGACAAAGCUGGCUGCCCUUUACCUCCCCUGCAACCCUCUCAUGGAAACAUGAAAAUCUGAGACUGCACCCUUCCCUUCCUAAGGAACAGAUCCUGGUUCCAGUCCCUGUGGCUGACAUUCUGGCUGCACCGCGGUGUGUGUGUGUGUGUGCAGAACCUCUCCUACCUCCUUCGGCAUUUCCCGUGGGAAGAAGAAGUAGGGCAGGGCAGACACGGCCACCAGGCUGGCGGCCACCAGGAACCCGAGCCACCAGGCCCCGACCCAGCGCGGGUCCUUGUUGGUGAGCUGCACCUCAGCUGCAACACAAGUGGGGAGAGGGGCAUCAGACCAAUGCUGGGACAAGGGAGGGAGCCCAGAGCACCGAAGGGUGGCCCCAGUCACCCCCGACAUCAAUCAGCCCCAAGGUGGUGGCUCCCAACCCAGGGACCAUCAGUUCUGGGGUCUGAGCAGCGUUUGCCGCCGAUCAUCCCAGCACUAAAUCACAUUUCAUUGUCCCUUUCCUAUUUCACUGCUGUCCCCAGGACGUCCAAAGAGCCACUCAGCCCUUUGGAUGGAGACAGCUGGGACAUGGAUGUCCUGGAUGCCCCUCUGCCCCACCGGCACAGGGCACAGAACCCACAGGAGGCUGGGAGCCCCUCUGCUUUAGGAGCUCUCCCAGGACCCGCUCCCUCACCUGCGCCGACUUUGUCGAUGUCCACGUAGAACCUCAGCAUGGCAGAGCCCAGCAUGAAGGCCACCCCCGGGCCGAUGACCGUCACGGAGAACAGGAUUCCUGCGAGGUGAAAGAAAAUACAAAGAAGGUGCAAAGAGCACUCCACUGAUGUUCACAGAGAUGGGUUCACGUGCCAUGAAAAGCCACCUUCAUCAAGGAAGUGGAGCUGAGGUCACUCCCAGGACCUUUCACUGACCUUCCAAUACAGGCCUAAACCAAGUUUCUGGAGCACUUACUGGCCACAGACUGGUCGUACUCGUAGGGCCCUGUAAUGAAGUGGGGCAGG